CGUUUAAAACUGCCGCUAUAGAAUACAUCGACUGCCACUACAAAUUGUGGCACGAAUGAGGGAUUUUUUCUCCUCUUUUUCCCUUUUUCUCAUUCUCUUCCCGCUCUUGUGAUCUCUCUCACAGUCGACAUCGACCUCUCACCACUGAACAAAAUCCAAGGACACCUAUUAAUCUCUUUUUCUCUCUCUCUCUCUCUCCCCUUUUCUCAUUCUCUACUCGCUCUCUCUCAGUCUCUCUCUCGCGUCGUUGUCGACCUCUCACCACCGGAUGACAUCCAAGAACACUGACAUCAAUAAUCUCUCUCUCGCGCGAUCUCUCUUUCUCACGGUUGACAUCGACCUCUCACCACCGGAUAACAUCCUAGGACACCAACAUCACUAGGUAAACUCCAAAGGUUUAGAAGGAAUAACCGGCUUUGGGCGUACAAGAUGCGACCACGGAGAUUCCAGUGAGCAAGGAUACACUACAAAAAGUUACUCCAAAAUUGGUGACAUUGGGGAAAGCACUUCAAUUAUCAUACCUGUAGCCAACUCGCUUCAAUAUUAAUGAGUUGUUUGUCUCUCGACCAGGCAGAGAAACACAUUGCAAUAAUCUCUCUAUCCAUGUUUGUUCGUUUGAUAACAGAAGUGGGAUGGGUCCCUCUCCCUCCUCUCUCUCUCUCCUCUCUCUCUUUCUGUCUUUCUCAGAGUGAAGAGUGAACAGACCAGAAAAACAUGCCUGGUGACAUGGCUUUUAUUUAGUACUUAAUGCAUAUAGACUGCUAAAAGUCUGCAACUUACAUUG